rnacentral:pre_miRNA from 1 species
GAGCGGGCGGCGCCGCGCGCUACUCUGGCGCCGGGGCUGUUCUCACGGAGUCAGGUACCUGAAGUAGCGCGCGGAGCCUCCGCUA